rnacentral:rRNA from 1 species
GUCCUACUUUUUUUUUUUUUGUAAAUAUUGCAGCAUGGUAUAAUAAAAUAAGAUUGAUUAAAUUAAAUUUGUUGAAUCAAGUGUGGGCGAGGUGAAAGCUUCGUUUACAUGAAUUUCAAAUUUAAUCAAUAAUGAUAAAUAGAGAUAGUUGGGGGUAUUCAUAUUUGAUUGUCAGAGGUGAAAUUCUUGGAUUUUUCAAAGAUGAACUAGUGCGAAAGCAUUUAUCAAGGAUGUUUUCAUGUGAUCAAGAACGAAAGUUAGGGGAUUGAAGACGAUUAGAUACCGUUGUAGUCCUAACUAUAAACGAUGCCAACCAAAGAUAAGAAAAAAGGAACUAAAAGGGGGGGGUGGCACGUCCACUUCUCUCUCUCUAUGUCCUUUCUUGGAUUUUUUGAGAAAUCAUUGAGUUUUCUGGUUCUGGGGGG